GACGCAGUAGGAUAGGCGAAGCGUGCUGUUGGAGUGCACGUCCAAGCAGUGAGAUUGAGUGUUAGGCAAAUCCGGCACUCUUAAGAUUGAGCUGUGAUGGGGAGAGGAACUUGUUCCUCGAGUCGUUGAUUUCACACUGCCGAGAAAAGCCUCUAGCUAGAAUAACGGUGCCCGUACCGCAAACCGACACAGGUAGUCAAGAUGAGAAUUCUAAGGUGAGCGAGCGAACUCUCGUUAAGGAACUCGGCAAAAUGACCCCGUAACUUCGGGAGAAGGGGUGCUCUUUGAGGUUCACGCUUCGAAGAGCCGCAGUGAAUAGGCCCAAGCGACUGUUUAUCAAAAACACAGGUCUCUGCUAAACCGUAAGGUGACGUAUAGGGGCUGACGCCUGCCCGGUGCUGGAAGGUUAAGAGGAGUGGUUAGCGCAAGCGAAGCUACGAAUCGAAGCCCCAGUAAACGGCGGCCGUAACUAUAACGGUCCUAAGGUAGCGAAAUUCCUUGUCGGGUAAGUUCCGACCCGCACGAAAGGCGUAACGAUUUGGGCACUGUCUCAACGAGAGACUCGGUGAAAUCAUAGUACCGGUGAAGAUGCCGGUUACCCGCGACAGGACGGAAAGACCCCGUGGAGCUUUACUGUAGCCUGAUAUUGAAAUUCGGUACAGUUUGUACAGGAUAGGUAGGAGCCUUAGAAGCGUGAGCGCUAGCUUACGUGGAGGCAUUGGUGGGAUACUACCCUAAUUGUAUUGGAUUUCUAACCCGCAGCACUUAUCGUGCUGGGAGACAGUGUCAGGCGGGCAGUUUGACUGGGGCGGUCGCCUCCUAAAGAGUAACGGAGGCGCUCAAAGGUUCCCUCAGAAUGGUUGGAAAUCAUUCAUAGAGUGUAAAGGCAUAAGGGAGCUUGACUGCGAGACCUACAAGUCGAGCAGGGUCGAAAGACGGACUUAGUGAUCCGGUGGUUCCGCAUGGAAGGGCCAUCGCUCAACGGAUAAAAGCUACCCCGGGGAUAACAGGCUUAUCUCCCCCAAGAGUUCACAUCGACGGGGAGGUUUGGCACCUCGAUGUCGGCUCAUCGCAUCCUGGGGCUGUAGUCGGUCCCAAGGGUUGGGCUGUUCGCCCAUUAAAGCGGUACGCGAGCUGGGUUCAGAACGUCGUGAGACAGUUCGGUCCCUAUCCGUCGUGGGCGUAGGAAAUUUGAGAGGAGCUGUCCUUAGUACGAGAGGACCGGGAUGGACAUACC
rnacentral:rRNA from 1 species